rnacentral:rRNA from 1 species
UACGAAGGUCCCAAGCGUUAUCCGGAUUAUUGGGUUUAAAGGGUGCGUAGGCGGGUUAUUAAGUCAGUGGUGAAAGCUCCCAGCUCAACUGGGAAACUGCCAUUGAUACUGAUAGUCUUGAGUAUGAUUGAAGUGGGCGGAAUGUGUCAUGUAGCGGUGAAAUGCUUAGAUAUGACACAGAACACCGAUUCGCGAAGGCAGCUCACUAAGCCAAUAAACUGACGCUGAUGCACGAAAGCCGUGGGGAGCAAACAGG